CUAAGGGGGUGUUUGGGAAACACCCGUUAAAGUUUAACACCUAUCACAUCGAAUGUUUGGAUGCUAAUUAGGAGUACUAAACAUAAGCUAAUUACAAAACUAAUUGCACAGAUGGAGUAUAAUUCGCGAGACGAAUCUAUUAAGCCUAAUUAGUCCAUGAUUUGACAAUGUGGUGCUACAGUAACCAUUUGCUAAUGAUGGAUUAAUUAGGCUCAAUAGAUUCGUCUCGCGAAUUAGCACAAGGUUCUGCAAUUAGUUUUAUAAUUAGCUCAUGUUUAGUCCUCCUAAUUAGCAUCCGAACAUCCGAUGUGACACUGUUAAAGUUUAGCACCUCGUAUCCAAACAGCCCCUAA
rnacentral:lncRNA from 1 species